UUUAGCUAAAGUGACAUUUAUUUCAUUUAGGGUUAAAAUUUUGGUCUUCUUCUUCCAAAAGGCCGAUUUCUGAAAAAUGGAAAGAAUAACGUGAGCUCCGGUUAAUGGCAGUACAUUUCUUCAACAAGCUCCGGUCUUCUUCUUCUUCAUAGUGAGGUAGUCUUCUUCUUCGGUUUGACAAGUCUUCUUCUUCAUCUCCAUUGAUCUUAUUCUCCAACAGUAAUCUUCUUCGACCGCAAGCUUUUGCAUAUAAAGUUUUGUCUCAGAUUGGAGACUCUUUUGCCUUCCGAAGCUCAUCGAAAUCGGCUCGUGGUCGUGGAAGCUUGUGGCUAGCUCGUGCUCAGUGUCGCUGCUCCAAAGAAGAUUUGAAUAGUCAUGAGUCAACAAGAGCCUUCAAAAGAAACAAAAGAGCAAAAAAAGAACUUCGCUAGACCUGGAUCAUUAUCAUUCUUGGCAAAUAAAAAACGACGAUUAUUGACAACAAAUAAAAUUGUUCAAGAUAUAGAGUCAGAGAAAGGACAUCUUCUAAAAUUAAUUGAAGAACAAGGUAUGAAAUUGCCCAUUUGAUAUAUUUGAUUGGAGGAAUAUGAACACCAAAAGGAUUUAUGGGAUUACACCAAGGAGAAAUAUAUUAUUCCUGAAGCUGCGAAAAAAUGGACUUUGGUAACAAUUCGGGAAGCUUGGAGAAGGCAUAGAAGUGGUUUGAAGAUCAAUUAUUAUGACCCGUAUGACAAUGAUGUAGUUCAAAUGGCAAAAAAGCCCAGUCAUAUUCCAGAAUGUCAGUUUAGAGAGCU